rnacentral:tRNA from 1 species
GGAGGGUAUAGCUCAGUGGUAGAGUGCUUGCUUCGCAUACACGAGGUCCUGGGUUCAAUCCCCAGUACCUCCA